UUCUCCGUGGCGCAAUUGGUUAGCGCGUUCGACUGUUAUCUGGCCAAUUGGUCCGUGGUCGAUCGAGAGGUUCCUGGUUCAAGCCCAGGCGGGGAAG